GAUACGCUUACGUUAAACAUUAAUUAGUAAUAGGCAAUUUUUUUUUUAUUCCUGUUCUUUAGAUCAUUUUAAGAUACUUUAUUUUCGAAUCCAACCAACUUUCCCUCCGGAAGUAGGUAAAAAAAAAUAGUUUAAAAAAAGAGCCGUUCUUGUUUGUUAAAAAUAGUAAUAGUAUUUUUAGUUCGUAAACGUGACGAAAAUAAUAUAUAUAAUGAGUCGACAAUGGAAUCGGUCAAAAUAUUUACACGAAAAAUAACUAAUUCAAUAAAUUGCGGGACCUCACGGAUAUACGUCGUAACUUGAUAUAAAAAAAAAGUUAUAAUUAAGUCUUUGAUUUAAUUACCAUAAAACUACUUCAUUAAGCUAUUUAUCCGAGAAUCCAACAUCAAUAUUAUUUGUAUCACUUUUAUAUAUAUUUACGCCUUAAACGUGCUAGAAAAAAUGGUUAUAGAUAUAAUUUCUAGCAGACUUUGUUCUGAUAACGUUCAAAGUGAUAUUCAAUACAUAAUCACACUAAAACAUGGUCAAUGUAAUAAAUAAGAGCAAUUUAACAAAUUCGCUAAAUGAAACUACCAAAUUUGAACUCUGUGCGCUAAUGCUAAGGAUUACAUUUCCUUGCGGCGCGCGGGUACAGUUUCAAUGCGGGCGGUGGCGGGAGUUCGUGCCAAGGACGCGUGGAUAGUAUGUAGGUAAGUAUGUACUUAACUACAAGUUGCUACAAGUGACAGGCCAAUUCGAACGUGCGCGGGCGUCCCGCUCGCACCAAAUAUUUGUGCGGCCAAGUCUGAGCGAAAUGAACGCGCGCGUGAAUGAUAGCUAAUUAAAAAUAACUGAUAUAAUUUCCAACAUUAUUUUAAUAUUGGUUGAUGUUCAAAUUAUACACGUCAGUCGUCAACGUUAUGACCCACUACAAAAAUAAAAAUUUCGCAUGACUAUCGUUCUUAUUUAAUUUCAGAAUGGCAUAGUGUGGAGUGGCAUUAUAAAAGGAAUACUUAUUAUCGUAGUCAUUUGACAGUUUUGGUGACACUUUCACAUUCUGUCACAGCGAAGUGUGUAGGCCCACUCUUUAAUUUUAUAUUAAAGUCUAUCCAACAACUUUGUCAGUAGAAAAAGGCGCGAAAUUCAAAUUUUCUAUGAGACAAUAACCUUUCGCGCCUAAGCGUCUGUAGACUUUUUUUUCAACAAACGUAUUAUAUUGACUAUUUCGUGCUCUUUCUAUUCAUAACUAGUUUACGUUCCUAAGUUUCAGAAAGCCCCCUCUCGCUGUCUGCGAAAAUCGACGCCACACUCGCGUUCGCGGCUUCACGCCGCGAUUCGCGCACGAGUGUGGAGGAGGCUUAAUAAGUAUAACAUAGUAUAAUAAUAGUCGACGCCAAAGAUAUGUUUACACUUUUGCACCUUAUUCCUUUGUAAUAAGGCCAAAAGUACGGCUUUAAAAUGACAACGUUUUACACAAAAAUAAAACGCUAAUUACAUAACUUACCAUAUUCGGAACCUAAGAACAAUAUUGAGAGUGGCAACACUGUCACAGGAGGCUAUUCAUAAAUUACGUCAUUUCAAAUUUGGGGCAGGGGGCAAAAAUCGUCAAAAAUAGAUGACGUCAUUUAUGGACAGCCCCUAGGUCGUAUUGUCUUUUUCUAGCAUAUACGUCCCUCUCUCCCCCACACUCCUACCACACAGGCAGGUUGCUUUGUCAGUUAUACAAGAUAAAUUUUCAAGUCAUUGUCUCAAAAUUAUACAUAUGUGCACCAUGCAGGAUUAAAACUUUAGGUUCCGAAUAGAGAUGCACCGGAUAUUCGGUUAUUAUCCGGUAUCCUAUCUCGCCCUUAUUUUAAUAUCCGGCCGGAUACCGGAUAGUAACUAUGCUUGAUAUCGGAAUAUAAUCGUACUCGAUUAUUAUUUUAAAACAAUUUAAACGUUCCAUUCACUAGCUCGCGCACUAAUUUCGUAGUGAUAGACCUAUAUGAGUCCGUGCAAAAGUUCAUUACGAAACAGGGCAAAACUUCCACAAUGCUCACCUGAAAAAUCGGAAUGUAGGUAUAUUUCCGCCGGCCGAAUAUUCGGCGCCCGAAUACCGAAUAUUCGGCCUAUGGUCAGGCCGUAUAUCCGGUAUCCUGUAUGCGUCCAAACAACUAUCCGUUGCAUCUGUAGUUCCGAAUAUGGUAAGUUAUUUAAUUAGCGUUUUAUUUUUGUGUAAACGCUGUCAUUAAACAGCUGUACCGAUAUUUGGAACCUAAGAAUAAUAUUGAAGCAUGUUUGUUAUCGCCUGGUGGUGGGAAGACGCCAAACCAAUGUGAUUAUACAUAUCCUAUGAUAUACUUAUUAUGUGUAUGUAAUAUAAUUAUAUUAUAAAUGUAGUACACCCUUUAUUGUAACACCAAUGAGGAGAGAGAUAUUUAGUAAAGUAUACAAUUUGAUAGGUACAUUUUGUAUAAUUAACAUAGGUAUAUAUGCCAUUAAAUAAAUAAAUAAAUACUAUAGGACAAUUUUACACAGAUUGACCUAGUCCCACAGUAAGCUCAAUAAGGCUUGUGUUGUGGGUACUAGACGACGAAAUAUAUAAUAUACACAUAUCUAUAAACUAGACGGGCCCGCGGCUCCGCUCGCGUAAAUGAAAUAUAGAGUUUAUCUUAUGUUUAUUUAACUGCCGACAUUACUAUGUACAUAAUAAUUAAUAACACAGUCAGACAGGGUUGGAUAUAUAUGCAACCUUGCCAGGGUUUAUAACUGUGAUAUCCCAUUUCUUAUUUAAUUGUAGUCGUUACUUGGAUAACUUAAUUCGCAAAUUUCUCAAAAAAUGAUGUGAUUUGAUGAAUAAAAGGCAAGAUUGUAUCUUUUCAUCUACGUAGGUAUUUGUGACGUUCCACGGCAAAAGGUACUUUAUGGCGGCUGCCGAUUACGUCGCAUAGCGCCGCAAUAAUAUUGGAGCGAUGCUAUUAUUAACGAAUAAUAGCGUAAGCGCCAACCACCAUAAGGUACGUUUACCUGUGGGACGUCACAUUUAUAACAACUUGUUUCAACAUAAAAUUAUUCUUUAUUUUUAUAAGCCUAGUUCCAAAACGUUCAUUAGAUUAAUUUCCGCCUUAAGAAUAAUAUGGACGAUCACCGCCCAUAAAUCGAUAAUCGCCUUUUCAUACAAACGUAGUCCCCAUUUCCCUUUCUGGAUAUUAACAUUACUUACUACGGCUACGGUGAUGCAACGACCCAAAGUGAGUCCUGGCCUCCGACUCCAGAUCACGCCAUGUUUCUCGGUCUUGCGAUAGCUCUCGCCAGUCAGCAUGGCGGAGGUUGGGCAGGUCUAGAGCAACUACGUCGUUUCAGCGGUACCUAGGACGUCCAUCGGCUGUCUCCCACUUCGUUGUCCCAAGUACGCUCUCGGCACGAUCCUCUCCCAUUCUCUUUGUGUCCGAGCCACGGAAGCUCAGCCGCUUUGGUCUCUCCAAUACCCAAAUAUAUCGCCAAAUAUAUCGGAACACAUUUUUAUUAUUUCUAUGGCAACAAAGUUAUAUUACGAUAUAUUUGGCUACUUUAGCCGUCACUAUCUAUUUCAUACUGACUGUACAUUUGCUUUAUGAAUGUGUAGUCGCCAUUAGAUAUAUAUCGUAGCCACCAAGGUCGCUCAAAAAUAUCUGAACAUACACUUUGAUUACAUUAUACAUAAUUUACAUGGUUCAGAUACAGUUAGUAGCACAAGUGAACCAAUGUUCACUACUUUGACAUGUACCUUUACUUUACAUAAAAACGAUAACUAAUUAAUUUUAUAUUUCACUAUUUUCUGUUAGUGUACUAUAUAGAGAUGGUCUGCCAUUACAUAAUUACAGAUUGAAGCAAUGCAUUUUCUCUAUAAGGUCAUAUUAGUAUUGAAUCAAUUUUGCUCCGACCUCUUUCGAUAGCAGGCCGUUUGAUUAAUCGGACUUAAAACUAAACUUAUAUCCGAUGUGCAUUUAUUUUAAUGAUUGUCAUGAUAUCAUUCACGAUUUCUCUUGAAUUGAUUGACUUCGUUGUUAAUUGAAAAUAAAACGUUAGCCAUUGUAACGUAGACAUUUUCUUAGAUUUUAAAUUAAUAUUUUUGGGUUGAAUUCCUUUUCUUAUUUCAACGAUUUUAACAAUAUCCCAAACUAACUCGAUUGAUUGCACUUCUUUGCAUAAUCUGUUGCAUUCAGAUGCACCUUUUGAUGCUUAUCUGUUGUCGGGGUUGUCAUAUGAGUAAAAAUAAUUAAAACUUGAGAUAUUUAUGUUGUCACUCCAGGAAAACUUUGUAUGAUUUAGGUAUGAUUUUUAUAGAUAGAAAAUAAGUUUGAUGUAAAACAAAACAUAUAAAUUACAGACUUACAAAGUGGCUCUGAAAUGAAACCUUAUUAGAUUUAAUGAUAAAAAUAUAUUUCUUAGGCUCAUGAGUGAAUUUGUCUAAAUAAUCAGUUCAGAAUUUUCGAAGAAUUUGUGUCUUCAGGGGAUUGGCACCCUACUUUUGUUUUUUUGCCUUUUGUUCUCAACAUAUGAGAAGGUCAUUCUGAGGUGACAUGCACUUUUGAUGUGUGGACCCCUCCGGGGACGCACGCUCGCAUGAGCCCUAUUUUGUGAUAAGACCACACAUUCCACAUGGUGGUCAAAAUGGUGGAAGCAGUUCGAGUCCUUCGGUGUGUUCCACUGAGUAAGUAUAAAUGGAAUUUAGUUGUGAUCAAUUCCACAAUGGCGCGAAACAUUGUGGGUUUGUUCUUAACCAAGUUUUGGUUCUUUACAGAGUUGACUCCUGCUCGAGGGAAGGGAGCGCUCCGCCAGAAGUCCUAACAGCUUCCAGUGCGGAGCCGGGAUGUUUCUAGAUGUUUCUAGAAGCUUUUGAUGUUUAUAGAAGUUUCAAGAUGUUUCGAAUUUGAAGUUUUAAAAUGAUGCUGUGGGAUCUGUCCCACGUCAUCUGCACUGGCCGGCUCCAACCAGGUUAGCAGUCAGCUUCCCGGGGAUAGGCGAGGUCACUCCCCGCCGCUCCAGGUCCGGUAGCAGUUUUUGAGGUCGGUCCGAUGCAUCUUUAAUUUUUAAAUUGCGUCUGCGCUCGGCUACAAAUUUAAAAUGUGAUUUAGAGCAAUAGUUAUUUUAAUUUAAAGUUUUGAAAGUUCUGGUGCAUAAAACUUAGGUAUUUCGAAAUUUAGUCUUUAGUAAUAAAUUAAUUGGUGUAAACCUUAUAACAUGAACCUGUGAAGCGACCCAGCUAUACCACUGAGCUUUUACAUGAUAAUAUUAGGUUAAUAAAGUUUGUUAGAUA